CUGAGAAUACAUUGGUGAAGCGAGUAUCAUCCUUCUAAUACUAUGAUGUUACAAUUAUGAAAAAAUAAUCCAUAUCCACACUUUUAAUUUUAACACGUCCCUGAAUUUUCACCAAAAUACAAAAAAAUAUUGUCCUUCAAAGUCAAACAGUACUGUAUCCGUCCAUGAUUUAUCAACGUCAACAAAUGAUGUCGUUUCAACAAUGCAGAUCGUUUCACCUGGAUGGGGGACACAGGUAGGAAUGAAAAUCUCCCACAACAAUACUUUAUAAUAGUCGACCGCUAUCAAUAAAAGUGGCUUGACCAUAAAUAUAUUAUCGGUAUAUAGUUUUAUAAAUUGUAGGUAAUAAGUGAAAGUUUCCAAACCUCUCUCUCCAGGAUACAGGUAAAAACGACAAAAAUGACAAACAGGUAACACAGCUGACUAG
rnacentral:lncRNA from 1 species